rnacentral:rRNA from 1 species
CUACGGGGUGCUGCAGUGGGGAAUAUUGGACAAUGGGGGAAACCCUGAUCCAGCAAUGCCGCGUGUGUGAAGAAGGCCUGCGGGUUGUAAAGCACUUUCGGUUGGGAGGACUGCUUCUAGCACUAAUAUUGUUGGAAGUUGACGUUACCUUCAGAAGAAGCACCGGCUAACUCCGUGCCAGCAGGCCGCGGUAAUACGGAGGGUGCAAGCGUCAAUCGGAAUUACUGGGCGUAAAGCGCGCGUAGGCGGCUAGAUCAGUCGGGUGUGAAAGCCCCGGGCUUAACCUGGGAACUGCAUCCGAUACUGUCUAGCUUGAGUACAGGAGAGGAGAGUGGAAUUCCACAUGUAGCGGUGAAAUGCGUAGAUAUGUGGAGGAACACCAAUGGCGAAGGCAGCUCUCUGGCCUGAUACUGACGCUGAGGUGCGAAAGCGUGGGGAGCAAACAGGAUUAGAUACCCCAGUAGUC